AGCGGACCGACGGGAGCUUGCUCCCUUAGGUCAGCGGCGGACGGGUGAGUAACACGUGGGUAACCUGCCUGUAAGACUGGGAUAACUCCGGGAAACCGGGGCUAAUACCGGAUGCUUGAUUGAACCGCAUGGUUCAAUCAUAAAAGGUGGCUUUUAGCUACCACUUGCAGAUGGACCCGCGGCGCAUUAGCUAGUUGGUGAGGUAACGGCUCACCAAGGCGACGAUGCGUAGCCGACCUGAGAGGGUGAUCGGCCACACUGGGACUGAGACACGGCCCAGACUCCUACGGGAGGCAGCAGUAGGGAAUCUUCCGCAAUGGACGAAAGUCUGACGGAGCAACGCCGCGUGAGUGAUGAAGGUUUUCGGAUCGUAAAACUCUGUUGUUAGGGAAGAACAAGUACCGUUCGAAUAGGGCGGCACCUUGACGGUACCUAACCAGAAAGCCACGGCUAACUACGUGCCAGCAGCCGCGGUAAUACGUAGGUGGCAAGCGUUGUCCGGAAUUAUUGGGCGUAAAGCGCGCGCAGGCGGUUUCUUAAGUCUGAUGUGAAAGCCCCCGGCUCAACCGGGGAGGGUCAUUGGAAACUGGGGAAC
rnacentral:rRNA from 2 species